rnacentral:rRNA from 1 species
UACAUGGGGUGCAAACGUUGCUCGGAAUUAUUGGGCGUAAAGCGCACGUAGGCGGUUUGUUAAGUCGGAUGUGAAAUCCCUCGGCUCAACUGAGGAAGUGCACCCGAAACUGGCAAGCCUGAGUACUAAAGAGGGUCGCGGAAUUCCCGGUGUAGAGGUGAAAUUCGUAGAUAUCGGGAGGAACAUCAGUGUCGAAGGCGGCUGCCUGGCCCAAUACUGACACUCAGGUGCGACAGCGUGGGGAGCAAACAGG